rnacentral:rRNA from 1 species
UACGGGGGGGGCAAGCGUUGUUCGGAAUUAUUGGGCGUAAAGGGCUCGUAGGUGGCCAACUAAGUCGGACGUGAAAUCCCUCGGCUUAACCGGGGAACUGCGUCCGAUACUGGUUGGCUUGAGUUUGGGAGAGGGAUGCGGAAUUCCAGGUGUAGCGGUGAAAUGCGUAGAUAUCUGGAGGAACACCGGUGGCGAAGGCGGCAUCCUGGACCGGCAUUGACGCUGAGGCGCGAAAGCUAGGGGAGCAAACGGG